GACGAACGCUGGCGGCGUGCUUAACACAUGCAAGUCGAACGGAAAGGCCUGCUUUCCCUUGUGGAUUGCGGGCACUCGAGUGGCGAACGGGUGAGUAACACGUGAGUGAUCUGCCCCCAACUUGGGUAUAAGCCUGGGAUACUGGGUCUAAUUCGCGAUAGGACUGCAGGGUGGUUCCUGUCGUGGAAAACGAUAUUCUAGUGGUUGGGGAUGAGCUCGCGGCCUAUGGGCGUGGUGGUGGGGUAAUGGUCUACCAAGGCGGGGACGGGUAGCCGGCGCGAGAGCGUGGACGGCGACAUUGGGACAGGGACACGGCCCAGACUCCUGGGGGAAGUGGCAGAUGGGAGAAUUGGACCAUAAGCGUGAGCCAGAUGCAGCGACGCUGCGUAGAAGAUGACGGCCUUCGGGUGGUAAACUCGUUGCGAGCGCGAGGAAGAAGUCUGGUUGGAAGGGUGGUGACGGUAGUGGUAGAAGAAGCACCGGCUAACUACGUG
rnacentral:rRNA from 1 species